UACAGAGGGUGCGAGCGUUGUCCGGAAUCAUGUACGUGGGCGUAAAGGGCGGCGUAGGCGCUUGAUAAAGUCGUGACGGUCGAAAGCCCGGGGCUCCAACCCCGGGUACGGCCGUGCGAACUGUCGAGCUGGAGCAGCUGUAGAGGCAGGUGGAAUUCCGGGUGUAGCGGAUGGAAUGCGUAGAGAUCCGGAACGAAGACACCGGUGGCGAAGGCGGCGAUCCUGGACCGUGGCUCCU
rnacentral:rRNA from 1 species